UGGAUGUAUGGUCCCAUUACAUGUGAUUAUUAAAAGGAAAUAAAAAAAAGAGAGGUGUUGUGUUGUGUUGUGUUGUGUUGUGUUGUGCUGUGUGUAUCUUCUAUCCUACAAUUGAAGGUUUUGAAAUCACUGUUCAUGCACCAACCUUACUAUGCUAGCCUCCCUAUGGUAUUCUCCUUUUUCUAUUGCUACGGCUUCCCUAUACGGCUAUACUGCUGUUCGUUUACCUCAUCCUCUCCUCAUAGCAAAUUUAAAUUUUCCGUCACUGACACCUACGCCUGCCCUCUCACUGCGAAAAUGUGACAGCUGCCUCCUCCCCUAUCCAUGGCACAGGUCUCCUAUAUGAAUCGUCCUUCCCUAUCUCCUUGGGUUGUCCAGAACCUUCUCCCCCUAAUAGCCACCUCCCAAGCUAUUAUUUACACUAAGCCCAAAAACAACCUAUGUUGUACUUGUCCUCUUCUAUCCCUUUUUUCCUCCUAUGCUCUCCCUAUGCCAUACACAUCUUUUUUCUGCGUUUCUUGCAUACUCCCUAAUUCGGAGUUACCUACAACUUGCAAAUUCCAGCUUUCCGAUGUCUUUGACAGGUUGUGUGCCUACACUCCCUCCCCUACACUCCCUCUUCAUCUUCUUUACAGCUUGACUGAUUUGAUGGAGUGCCUAUAAAUUGAACCAUGUCUGUGAGGAGGGGAAGGAUAAGAUGCAGUUAUCAUGCGUUUUUGCUAUUAGUGCAUGAUGUGGUUGUGGACUUGUGACUGCACUGAACCGAGAUGUAUGCGAUCUGCAAUUCAAUAUCUUAGUUAAAUUAAAGUUUUGUUUCUUAGGUGUCCCGGUUUGGUGCACUAAAGAUGACCUGCAAUUCAUUUCAGUUUUCUACUUAUAACAUGUUUGGAAUUUAAAUCAACUUAUUAUUCAUCAGAAUCAAUUCUGAUGCCGAAGCUACUCGGACAAGUUUCUCUCCGGAAUUGUUUCCGGUUUAGAAUUAUUUGUAGAGGAAUUUCCAAUAUGUUGUUUGGUGAAUGAUCAGUUACCCGUGGGUGACAAAGCUAUGCAAAAGAAGAGGAUGGCAGACAAAAACUAAAACUUCAACCAGAGGGUCAGAGACAAACUAUUUCAUUAUGCAGUAUCUUUAGUGCACCAAACCAACACUUAUAGUACCAUUAUUAUUACUACAAAUAUUAGCAAGCAACAAAUGUUCAAUGGCUUGGUUGUUUUGGUAGGUCAAUGUCAAGGGCUGAAGCUCAAAAUCCACUUAUUGGAGAAAACACUUGUGGCUCAUUGCUAAAGAAGCUGUACGUAACUUCAUUCAGCAAUUCACCUUUGUCAUUGGUGAUGCACAUGGUCUAAAGAAUAGUGAGAUUAGAUUAUAUUCAUUCACCGUAGCCAAUAUGGAAUGUGGUUGGUGAGAGUGAUGAGGAACGAGAAAAGAUGCUUCUUUAGUUAGAGUAGCAAUGCUUGGAUGUGUACAAGAGAAAGGUUGAGCAUGCUGCCAAAUAUAGGGUACAACUACUUCAAGCCUUAUCUGAUGCUAAGCUUGAGCUUUCUACUCUUCUACCAACUCUUGGUGAAAAGAGCUUUGCUGGAAAUGUUGGUAACUGCUUAACUAUAUUUUUACAUUGGGCGUAUUUAACAGAACAAAUACAGGCAUAACUUUGUGAUGUAUUUUGAUAAUAAAGUUGCAAACUUAUUUGCUAUGCAUUUGAACCUUAAUGAUUUUUUACCUGUUGUUGAUAAGUCUGGCCUUUCUUGAAGAAGUUCGAUGAAUAUCAAUCUGAGUGCCAAAAUCAUCAAAAGGAUUAGGCUGAAGUGGAAGUUGAAAGACUUGAGCAGUUUAAAGCUAGCAGGAUGAAGGAAAUUGCUUCCAGGAAGCAAGGAGAACUCAAAGAGAUGUUUGCCUGUGCUCAUGUAGAAAGAUGUUGGCUGGCAAAGGAUUAUGGCUUUCAUUGAUUUUGGAGAAUUUAACCAAGUAUCCUACUUUGCGGACAUAGUUGGUUUCAGUCUUUCAGAGUGGAGCUCUUCAGUAUUAGUAUUGUUUUGUCUUUAUUUUUCUUUUUGAUGUAUAUUAUCUUUCUUCUAUGUGAUCCUUUUCCCUUUUGGUAAAGUUUCUUCUCUCAUUACAAAGUCGUCACUCACUUAGCUUUCGUUAAGGGUUUUCCUUUGAAAGUAAAAGGUUUGAAGAUAAAUUUAUUAAUAUAUCGAUGUUUUAUUCAA